AUGCCGGCCAGCUCGUCCGAGGUCUCCGACGACGAGAACGACCCCACGAUGGAGACGGGGUCCGAUGGCACCGCACCGGAGCCCGCGUCUGUGCAUGCCGGCUUCACCAUGGAGCAGGUGCAGACACACUUCAAUGCCGUCAUGGUGGAGGAGCAGGCUGCGCUGGCGCCUAUGUCGGCGUUCCAGAAGACGCAGGAGAAACAACGGCACAACAUAUUCCUCCUAGAGCAGCACCGAAUGGCAGAGGGCCAAAUAGACGGUGAGCGCACGAGCGAGGAGGUCGUGGCGGGCGAACCCUAA
rnacentral:rRNA from 1 species